AACCUUACCUGCUAUCCAACGCCGCGGCCUCCGCGCUCUGCGAGCUCCAGUCUCCGGUUCUCCCCUGAGCCCAGUCAAGCCUCCGCCUCGCCAGCCUGCUGGUCGUUCCAGCCACAGAGGUCUCCUGAGUUAUUUAUACUACCCAGCCUACGGGUCUUCCUCUGUUCUCAUCUUUUGUACUCCUUGGUUGGAUUUACCUGUGGCUUUCCUUUGUUUAAUUAAAGACUGUCAUUUUGCCCUCGCAUUUGAGUCCUCUCUCUUCAAUACUCAUCACAGUUUGUCUUUUUGGUUCUUUCAGGAUGCAAACCAACAAUGUUGUCAGAGUGAAGUUCAAAGACAGCAAGAGAUAUAUUUUUUCUUCAAAACCUUUUACAUUUCAAUCAUUUUUGGAAUGUGUUGCCAAGAAAUUUGAUCUUCCUACAUUGGAUGUUAAAGUCUUUGAUGACUCGAAGACAGAAGUUGAUGAGGAAGCAUUCGUAUAUCUGCUGACACGACCAGAUCUUGGUGUCUUAGAAAUUGUCAUCCCAGGCACAGCAAACAUUGAUGAUUCUUUAAGCUCAAGCUCAUUAGGAGAUACUGAAAGUACAUCAGAGUCCGAUGACACAGCAAUGUUGAUUAGAAGCCCUCCUGAAAAAAAUCAAGCUGAGGAACGUCGUCUUGCCAAGAUGAUUGAAGAUAUCCUAAAGACCAGCCCUGGAGGUGAAAAGGUCAUAAACGAAUAUGCCCGCACCAAAGGUCUGUCAGAUGCCCGAAGACGUGACAUGGUGAAAAUCUUGGUAGCACAUUUGACAAAUGAACAUGGAACAAGCCCUUCCCGACAUUUGAAGGAAGAAUAUGCAAAGGGAAUCAUUUCCCUAUUCCCAUGCUUGGCUGACCCCAGAAGCAAGCUUGGAUAUGUAAGUAGCAGUUGCCUCUCAAUAUUUUUGAUUUACAGGAGGAGACAUUCUGUAUA
rnacentral:lncRNA from 12 species